rnacentral:rRNA from 1 species
GUGCCAGCAGCCGCGGUAAUACAGAGGGUGCAAGCGUUAAUCGGAUUUACUGGGCGUAAAGCGCGCGUAGGUGGCCAAUUAAGUCAAAUGUGAAAUCCCCGAGCUUAACUUGGGAAUUGCAUUCGAUACUGGUUGGCUAGAGUAUGGGAGAGGAUGGUAGAAUUCCAGGUGUAGCGGUGAAAUGCGUAGAGAUCUGGAGGAAUACCGAUGGCGAAGGCAGCCAUCUGGCCUAAUACUGACACUGAGGUGC